GUACAAGGCUAAAUAGGGCCCUGGGAUGAGGCACCUGUGACAGGGAGGGGUGCAAAACCAAGGAGUUGGCUAGACUCCCAAAUAUAUAUAAAACAAGAGGGGGUUGGCUGCACUCACCUUAACAUGCAUAAAUGGGGGUGCUGCUGGGGGCCAAAUAAUACAAUACACAAGAUCCAGCGCACUCACCUAUCCACUAAACAGCAACUUCAAUGUUGAAAGAUUUUAUUUGUUUUGCACCCCUCCCUGUCACAGGUGCCUCAUCCCAGGGCCCUAUUUAGCCUUGUACU